GACGAACGCUGGCGGCGUGCUUAACACAUGCAAGUCGAACGGAAAGGCCCUGCUUUUGUGGGGUGCUCGAGUGGCGAACGGGUGAGUAACACGUGAGUAACCUGCCCUUGACUUUGGGAUAACGUCAGGAAACUGGGGCUAAUACCGUAUAGGCGCUCCUGCUGCAUGGUGGGGGUUGGAAAGUUUCGUCGGUUGGGGAUGGACUCGCGGCUUAUCAGCUUGUUGGUGGGGUAGUGGCUUACCAAGGCUUUGCCGGGUGGCCGGCCUGAGAGGGUGACCGGCACAAUUGGGAACGGGAUAGGGCCAGUAGUCUCAGGGGAGGAGGAGUUGGGAAUAUUGCACAAUGGGCGGAAGCCUGAUGCAGCAACGCCGCGUGCGGGAUGACGGCCUUCGGGUUGUAAACCGCUUUCGCCUGUGACGAAGCGUGAGUGACGGUAAUGGGUAAAGAAGCACCGGCUAACUACGUG
rnacentral:rRNA from 1 species